AUCUGAGAAAAGCAAACUAUCCGAAAGGGUGGGACGCAAAGCCGCUGGCCUAAAUCGUAGUUGGAAGACUAUGACACGGUAGCAGGGUUGCCUCA
rnacentral:ncRNA from 2 species